AGUGAACGCUGCGGUAGGCCUAACACAUGCAAGUCGAACGGCAGCACAGUAAGAGCUUGCUCUUACGGGUGGCGAGUGGCGGACGGGUGAGGAAUACAUCGGAAUCUACUUUUUCGUGGGGGAUAACGUAGGGAAACUUACGCUAAUACCGCAUACGACCUACGGGUGAAAGCAGGGGAUCUUCGGACCUUGCGCGAUUGAAUGAGCCGAUGUCGGAUUAGCUAGUUGGCGGGGUAAAGGCCCACCAAGGCGACGAUCCGUAGCUGGUCUGAGAGGAUGAUCAGCCACACUGGAACUGAGACACGGUCCAGACUCCUACGGGAGGCAGCAGUGGGGAAUAUUGGACAAUGGGCGCAAGCCUGAUCCAGCCAUACCGCGUGGGUGAAGAAGGCCUUCGGGUUGUAAAGCCCUUUUGUUGGGAAAGAAAAGCAGCAGGUUAAUACCCCGCUGUUCUGACGGUACCCAAAGAAUAAGCACCGGCUAACUUCGUG
rnacentral:rRNA from 1 species